rnacentral:tRNA from 1 species
GGAGGGAUGGCUGAGUGGUCGAAAGCACUGGUCUUGAAAACCAGCGGUCCGAGAGGGCCCUAGGGUUCGAAUCCCUAUCCCUCCG